rnacentral:rRNA from 1 species
CGGCCUUCUNGGACUGACACUGACACUGAGGUNGCGAAANGCGUGGGUAGCAAANAGGAUUAGNAUACCCUGGUAGUCCACGCCGUAAACGAUGUUGACCAGCCGUUGGGUGCCUAGCGCACUUUGUGGCGAAGUUAACGCGAUAAGUCGACCGCCUGGGGAGUACGGCCGCAAGGUUAAAACUCAAAUGAAUUGACGGGGGCCCGCACAAGCGGUGGAGCAUGUGGUUUAAUUCGAUGCAACGCGAAGAACCUUACCUACUCUUGACAUCCUGCGAAUUUGGUAGAGAUACCUUAGUGCCUUCGGGAACGCAGAGACAGGUGCUGCAUGGCUGUCGUCAGCUCGUGUUGUGAAAUGUUGGGUUAAGUCCCGUAACGAGCGCAACCCUUGUCCUUAUUUGCCAGCGCGUAAUGGCGGGAACUCUAAGGAGACUGCCGGUGACAAACCGGAGGAAGGUGGGGACGACGUCAAGUCAUCAUGGCCCUUACGAGUAGGGCUACACACGUGCUACAAUGGUCGGUACAAAGGGUUGCCAACUCGCGAGAGUGAGCCAAUCCCGAAAAGCCGAUCUCAGUCCGGAUCGGAGUCUGCAACUCGACUCCGUGAAGUCGGAAUCGCUAGUAAUCGUGGAUCAGAAUGCCACGGUGAAUACGUUCCCGGGCCUUGUACACACCGCCCGUCACACCAUGGGAGUGGACUGCACCAGAAGUGGUUAGCCUAACGCAAGAGGGCGAUCACCACGGUGUGGUUCAUGACUNGGGGUGAAGUCGU